UGAACAACUGCGCGUCCAAAAUGCCUGAAACUUUGCAUAAAUUGGUAAAUUUGGAAGAAGCGGAAUUGGAAAUAUGUCUAUUAAUUGAAGAAUAUUCGAUUAACAACUUCAUUAGACUGAGGUCGUUCAAAGGAGAAUUCUAGGCCUGAGAUGAAUUGUCCCAUGUUUUUAUAUACACUCUUACAAUGAAAACACAAACAUCACGUAAUCCUCUUUCCUCCCUUGGACUCAAUUUUAAUUCUAAAACUAAAUGUCGGAAUCCUGAGACUAUCACUUUUAAAAUCCAACAGAAAUGGUACAUUGCACCAGGCGACAUGAACUUAACUCUACGCUCAGCCGCAUUGCCAAGAAACAUAGUUAAAAGUCUAAAUAGUUCUAUAUUUUCGUCUCUUGAAUAUUUUUUUUGAAAGAUUACAUUUCGGAAAUUCAAUAGUACUAUCUCAUAUGCCUUCCAUUACUUUUAUUGAUUGAUAACCAAUUUUCUUUGAAUCUUUUGAACAAAGGAACAUCUGGUGACAAUGUGGCACCCAUACACUCUUGGAAAUGCCAAUAGCUAAUUCCAUUAUAUGGUGUCUUCAAACAAAUGGUAGAAGUUUUUUUGCCAAGUAAUUUUUCGAUUAGAACACAAAUUUUAUUAUUCUUGCCGGUAUUUGAACUUAUCAUACAAAACAAUGCUUUAUUUUACUAAAUAUGUAUUCACUCUUUGUUCAAUUUACUUAAAUGUUUUGUAUAAUUAGGAACCAGUUUUCAUACUAAGCCAAUUACUUUUCCAAAAAAAAAAGAUCUUAUUGUCGCCCUAAUGUAUAGUAAUUACUCCACAUGAAUAGUUAUUUUAUUACUACUUGUAGAAGAAGUAUCUUGAUACAAGGCGGAAUGGAAGGAAUGUUCGUAAGACUUAUAUUAAUUAAUUAUUUGCUGUAUCAUCAUCGUUUUGAGGGGCUUUUUAGGUUAAAAGGAGCUGAGUUCUUAUUCUUCAUCUCUUUACAUAAUUUGUGUAAAUAAUCGCAAGUCUAUUCAUUUAUUAGGUUUUUUUAAAGACUUGGUCCUAUUCUAAAUACAUAGAAUAUGUACGCUACUCAAAUAUGAUUCAUAGUUGUGUAGAAAAGAGUUUAAUCUUAUGUAAAAAUACAUGGUAGGAACAUAAAACUGAAUGAAUCAAAAUUGAUGGAAAUAAAUAAACUCCCAUUAAUCAAAAUUCGAAUGUAUGUACAAAAAAUAAAUAAUUUUUUUCUUCAUAAAUUGGUAAAUUAAAUUGUUCCUAGGGUAUUUAUUGUCUUUGCGCCUUUAAAUCAACGAAGGAUAUUCUAAGGGAGACCAGGGAAGUUUCAACAAUUUUUAUUUGUGCCUCAAUUACUCCGAGUUGGUUAGACUUAGACACUCCGAAUUGUAACACAGCCUAACUACAUAUACUUGCUUUUUUAUAGGGCUAUUUAAAAACUGCUAAACGUCACGUCUAUGAGAAUAUUUCUAAUAAUGUGAUAAAUAUUAUAUUUAUACUUCUUAUGUCCAAGUUAAACUGAUGAAUUAUUUAUUACGUUUAUUAUUUAAAACAAGUUGAUAGAUACUUCAUAUAGCUUGUUUUAAUCCCAUUACAUAUAAA
rnacentral:lncRNA from 1 species